GGCGGACGGGUGAGUAACGCGUAAGAACUUGCCCUUUAGACUGGGAUAACAGAGGGAAACUUCUGAUAAUACUGGAUAAGUUAGUAUAUCGCAUGAUAUGCAAAUGAAAGCUACGGCACUAAAGGAGAGCUUUGCGUCCUAUUAGCUAGUUGGUAAGGUAAGAGCUUACCAAGGCGAUGAUAGGUAGCCGGCCUGAGAGGGUGGACGGCCACAAGGGGACUGAGAUACGGCCCUUACUCCUACGGGAGGCAGCAGUGU
rnacentral:rRNA from 1 species